CAGUAGCCGCGGGAAUACGGAGGGUGCAAGCGUUAAUCGGAAUUACUGGGCGUAAAGCGCACGCAGGCGGUCUGACAAGUCAGAUGUGAAAUCCCCGGGCUUAACCUGGGAACUGCAUUUGAAACUGUCAGGCUGGAGUCUUGUAGAGGGGGGUAGAAUUCCAGGUGUAGCGGUGAAAUGCGUAGAGAUCUGGAGGAAUACCGGUGGCGAAGGCGGCCCCCUGGACAAAGACUGACGCUCAGGUGCGAAAGCGUGGGGAGCAAACAGGAUUAGAGACCCGUGUAGUCCCUGUCUCUUAUAC
rnacentral:rRNA from 1 species